rnacentral:sRNA from 1 species
AGACGAAUUCGCGGCUCUUCGGCUUCCGAGGCUUCCGAGUUGUCGGAGGAAGGGGGCGGCGAGCAAGAAGAACCCGCCGCACCCGGUCCUCAGCGACUCUUCUGACCUCCGCGCGACGUACCCGCCGCCGCUGUUGGCUGGAGCAUUUGACAUUGUGCAGCAAAGAAAUGGUUAUGGAGAAGCCCAGUCCGCUGCUUGUAGGGCGGGAGUUUGUGAGGCAAUAUUAUACUUUGCUGAAUAAAGCUCCGGAAUAUUUACACAGGUAAAUUUUAAACAAAUAAUUUGGUAUUUUUAUCUACUUUUUUUCUUGGGUAUGACUAUAUAUAUUUUGCAUUUCCUGUCUCCUCAUUAUCUGACAAUAUCUUUGUAAACAUGUCUAAACUGUAUUUAAUAUUUUAUUCAUUUGAUGGCAAAAAGUGUUUUUAACUGCAACUCACAGUAACAACAUUUUAUGUCAUAUUCUGGUACAUGACACAUUCAUAUCUAUAUAUGCACACGCUUAUUCUUAUAUGUACUUUAGUAUUUUAUUUUUAGAGUCAUGGUCUCCUCUGUCACUCAGGCUGGAGUGCAGUGAUAUGCUCAUAGCCCACUGUGGCCUCAAACUGUAGGCCUCAAGCGAUCUCCCAGCUUGCAGCUUGUCUUCCCAAAGUACUGGGAUUACAGGCAUGAGACACC